GCCUGGGUGGCUCAGUCAGUUGACCAUCUGACUUUGGCUCAGGUCAUGAUCUCACAGUUCGUGGGUUCAAGCCCUACAUCAGGCU
rfam:Felis catus isolate Cinnamon breed Abyssinian chromosome C1, whole genome shotgun sequence.